GCCCCAGAUACCAGCCAAGGAGGCUGGAAGGCCAACCAAGCUCCAACCACUGGGCGUCCCAUCGCAGCGUGGCUUUACUGCUAACGUUGGCAUUGCUGUUUGUGCCAGGGGUUCUGUUCAAAACCAAGCUCUUAGAAGAAUUUGGAGGAAAUUAUGACUGCAACCAUGUCUUUAAGCAGCUAACCCUGGAGAGAGAAUGGACCAAGCUAAACAUUAACCAUUGCUGCUGGUAGGCCUCUGACAGCACAAGGUGGUGAGCCUGUCUUUCAGAAACCAGCUAGCUGGGUUCAAAACCAAGCCCAUCAUGUAGAAGCUAUGUGACCUUGAAGAAGUUAAUUAGACUCUCUGAACCUUUGGUUCUUUAUCCACCAAUAAAAAUAAUCUCACCUACCACCCAGGGUUGUAGGUCCAAGUGUAUAAUGUACAAAUGAAUAAAUUAAGACAGUCUC
ensembl:lncRNA novel transcript